rnacentral:tRNA from 1 species
UCCUCGUUAGUAUAGUGGUCAGUAUCCCCGCCUGUCACGUGGGAGAGACCGGGGUUCAAUUCCCCGACGGGGGA